rnacentral:rRNA from 1 species
GACGAAACGCUGGCGGCGCGCCUAACACAUGCAAGUCGAACGGAGCAUACGGGAGGAAGUUUUCGGACGGAAUCUGGUAUUGCUUAGUGGCGGACGGGUGAGUAACACGUGAGCAACCUGCCUAUCAGAGGGGGAUAACGAUUGGAAACGAUCGCUAAUACCGCAUAACGCAGCGAGGAGGCAUCUCUUGCUGCCAAAGAUUUAUCGCUGAUAGAUGGGCUCGCGUCCGAUUAGAUAGUUGGUGAGGUAACGGCCCACCAAGUCGACGAUCGGUAGCCGGACUGAGAGGUCGAACGGCCACAUUGGGACUGAGACACGGCCCAGACUCCUACGGAGGCAGCAGUGGGGAUAUUGCACAAAUGGGGAAACCCUGAUGCAGCGACGCCGCGUGAGGGAAGAACGGUCCUCUGGAUUGGUAAACCUCUGUCUUCGGGGACGAAACGAGACGGUACCCGAGGAGGAAGCCACGGCUAAACUAACGUGCCAGCCGCCGCGGUAAU